GCCGAGGUGGUGAAAUAUAGGUAUACACGCUAUCUUGAGGAGGUAGUUUCUUAUAUUAAGAAUUGCGGGUUCGAGUCCCGUCCUUGGCA
rnacentral:tRNA from 1 species